rnacentral:lncRNA from 1 species
UAGGAAGGAAAAAGUUGAUUCAUUCUGUUGCUAAUGCUAAGAGGAGUAGGAUCUUUAAUGGAUCUUUAUCCUUCUUUUUUGUACCCUCCCCCUUAGUUAUUAGUACUGGGACACAUAUAUCAAAAGUUCAAUGUGUCAUUUGAAUGAAAUAGAUUUUUUCAACUUCACAUUAGUAAUUGAGGUUACACAAACAAAACCAGGUCCAGAAGGAGAGAUUUUUUUA